UGUGUAGGUGGCGCGCUAAGUCGGGUGUGAAAUUUCGGAGCUUAACUCCGAAACUGCAUUCGAUACUGGCGUGCUUGAGGACUGGAGAGGAGACUGGAAUUCAUGGUGUAGCAGUGAAAUGCGUAGAGAUCAUGAGGAAGACCAGUGGCGAAGGCGGGUCUCUGGACAGUUCCUGACACUGAGACACGAAGGCCGGGGGAGCAAACG
rnacentral:rRNA from 1 species